AUGGACAGAGGUCAAGUCACAGUAACUCAGACUCCUGCAGUGAAAUCUGCUCUUCCAGGAGAAACAGUCACCAUCAACUGUAGAACCAGUCAGGCGGUAUUGGGGGAAUGUGGUAAAGGUGACUCAUCUGGUGACCGGUUAUUCUGGUAUCAGCAGAAACCUGGAGAAGCUCCUAAACUACUGAUUAAAUAUGUGAAUCAGCGACAGUCAGGAUUUCCAGCUCGUUUCAGUGGCAGUGGAUCUGGAUCUGAUUUCACUCUGACCAUCAGUGGAGUCCAGACUGAAGAUGCAGGAGAUUAUUACUGUCAGAGUUACCAUUCCAUCUCUGGCUACUGGUUCACACAGUGUUAUAGAGUCGAUCUCAAAGACGCAAAGCUGGUGACCCUCUUUAAGAACAAGGGGUCUAGACAAGUCUGUGACAACUAUAGAGCCAUUGCUUUGCUCAGUCUGGUCGGUAAAGUCUUCGCCAGUAUAAUUCUGAAGAGAUUACAGGUUCUUGCAGACAGAAUUUAUCCUGAAUCCCAGUGUGGCUUCUGA